UUCAGAUGUCUGCACUAUCAACUUUCAAUGGACUUUCUGCGCCUACCAUGGUGACCACGGGAGAGGGAGCCUGAGAAACAGCUACCAAAUCCAAGGAAGGCAGCAGGCGCGCAAAUUACCCACUCCCGACGCAGGGAGGUAGUGAUG